CCUACGGGCGGCAGUAGUAGGGAAUCUUUCACAAUGGGCGAAAGCCUGAUGGAGCAACGCCGCGUGCAGGAUGAAGGCCUUCGGGUUGUAAACUGCUUUUAUAAGCGAGAAAUAUGAUGGUAACUUAUGAAUAAGGAUCGGCUAACUACGUGCCAGCAGCCGCGGUCAUACGUAGGAUCCGAGCAUUAUCCGGAGUGACUGGGUGUAAAGAGUUGCGUAGGUGGCAUAAUAAGUAGCUAGUGAAAUCUGGUGGCUCAACCAUUCAGACUAUUAGCUAAACUGUUAAGCUCGAGACCGUUAGGGGUAACUGGAAUUUCUAGUGUAGGAGUGAAAUCCGUAGAUAUUAGAAGGAACACCAAUAGCGUAGGCAGGUUGCUGGGACGGUUCUGACACUAAGGCACGAAAGCGUAGGGAGCAAACGGGAUUAGAUACCCGAGUAGUC
rnacentral:rRNA from 1 species